AGUGAACGCUGGCGGUAGGCCUAACACAUGCAAGUCGAACGGCAGCACAGUAAGAGCUUGCUCUUACGGGUGGCGAGUGGCGGACGGGUGAGGAAUACAUCGGAAUCUACUUUUUCGUGGGGGAUAACGUAGGGAAACUUACGCUAAUACCGCAUACGACCUACGGGUGAAAGCAGGGGAUCUUCGGACCUUGCGCGAUUGAAUGAGCCGAUGUCGGAUUAGCUAGUUGGCGGGGUAAAGGCCCACCAAGGCGACGAUCCGUAGCUGGUCUGAGAGGAUGAUCAGCCACACUGGAACGGAGACACGGUCCAGACUCCUACGGGAGGCAGCAGUGGGGAAUAUUGGACAAUGGGCGCAAGCCUGAUCCAGCCAUACCGCGUGGGUGAAGAAGGCCUUCGGGUUGUAAAGCCCUUUUGUUGGGAAAGAAAAGCAGCAGGUUAAUACCCCGCUGUUCUGACGGUACCCAAAGAAUAAGCACCGGCUAACUUCGCG
rnacentral:rRNA from 1 species